GUUAGGGUUAGGCGUAGGGUCAGGGUGAGGGUCAUGGUUAGGGUUUAGAGUUAGGAUUGUCAGGCCUAGGGUAAGGCCUAGGGUUAGGGUUAGGGUUAGUGUCAGGGACAGGGACAGGGUCAGUGUCAGGGUUAGGGUUACCCCAGAGCGGAACCCCAGAGCGGACGGGCGGACGGGUUAGGGUUUGGGUUAGGGAUAGGGAUAUGGUUUGGGUUAAGGUUCGGGUUUAGGUUAGGGUUUGUUUUAGGAGCAGGAUUUAGGGUUAGGUUUAGGCUUAGGCUUAGGGUUUAGGGUUAAGUUUAGGGUUAGGAUUAGGUUUAGGUUUAGGGUUAGGUUUAGGGUUAGGGUUUGGGUUAGGGAAAGGGAUAGGGUUAGGGUUUCGGUUAAGUAUAGGGGUAGGGUUUGGGUUAGGGUUAGGGUUUAGGUUAGGGUUUGGGUUAGGGGCAGGAUUUAGGGUUAGGGUUAGGUUUAGGCUUAAGCUUAUGGUUUAGGGUUAGGGUUAGCGUUUUGGCUUCCAGUAUUGUUUGUGCAUUCCCAUGUUGUUUUGCAAUCUUUUCUCUUUUCAUUAGUUUUAUAAUUAAAGUUUUUCAAAGCAUGCCUCCCUGUUUUCAGUUUUCUCCUACGCCCUGAGAUUUAGCCGACCUUGUUUUCUUUUGCUCUUUGUCAAGUCUUUUUGAUACAAGCUGUGUGCAGCUUUGAUACGAGCUUGUUUGUCCCCUAUGACAUGGAUGAUUUUGCUGAAUCUCCGUGAUGCCUUGAAAAGGGCUGUGCUCGGGGACCGUGGCAGCAUUUUGGUAUCUGAUACAGAUUUUCCUGUUCUGGCAUACAGUGAAUUUCUUUGAUAUGUCUAUUAAGACUGUAACUGUCUUCCUGCUUUGAGUAAGGAGUUGGAAGAUGAAAGGUUAGUGUUCAUUUCCUCCCACAUGGGCUGUAACCUUUGUCUGCAUGUCUUGUGGUUGUGUUUUGUUUGUUUGUUUGUUUGUUUUGGCAGGCCCUCCAGUAGAGCAGCAGGGUGAAAGGUCUCGAGCUGGUGGCAGGACCCUGGCAGCUCUGCAGCCUGAGCAGCUGGCUCCAAGCUUCAGGGAGUCGAGACAGUGAGAUGUGUCACCAGGAUGUGCCACUAAACCCAGAACUACUAGGCCAUAAAUCGAGACUCUGG
rnacentral:lncRNA from 1 species